UGGGGAUUAUUGGACAAUGGGCGAAAGCCUGAUCCAGCCAUGCCGCGUGUGUGAAGAAGGUCUUCGGAUUGUAAAGCACUUUAAGUUGGGAGGAAGGGCAGUAAGCGAAUACCUUGCUGUUUUGACGUUACCGCCAGAAUAAGCACCGGCUAACUCUGUGCCAGCAGCCGCGGUAAUACAGAGGGUGCAAGCGUUAAUCGGAAUUACUGGGCGUACAGCGCGCGUAGGUGGUUCGUUAAGUUGAAUGUGAAAGCCCCGGGCUCAACCUGGGAACUGCAUCCAAAACUGGCGAGCUAGAGUAGGGCAGAGGGUGGUGGAAUUUCCUGUGUAGCGGUGAAAUGCGGAGAUAUAGGAAGGAACACCAGUGGCGAAGGCGACCACCUGGGCUCAUACUGACACUGAGGUGCGAAAGCGUGGGGAGCAAACAGG
rnacentral:rRNA from 1 species